CAAGCAAGAGGGACCGUCAAAAGCCCAACACAAGCAACUUCUUGCUGCCAACGAAGCCCAAAAAAGCUAAGUUUUUUUUUACUAACACACUUAAGUUACGUUCAAAUUCAGCGAAAAUACAAAAAUAAAUGUCUGUCUUAAAGGUGGAAUUACAUUUCAAACCACAUAGGCAGUAGAUCAGCUUUUAUUUAAACUCGUUCUCAGUUAUGUGCCUGAUGGCGAAAAUAAUGCACAAGCCCGUUUAUCAAUCCGCGCUUUUGUCCGUUCUUCUGUUCUCGUGAAUUUGAUUGACGUCAUCUUUCAUGGCCCAAGUACUGUUCCAAUCCAAAGAAUGCAAGUUACCAAGAACGCCUAAAAUGCCGAGAAGGGUCCAACUGCAGCUUGCAGCAGUCGCUCACGCCAGGCCCCCUGCUCACGCCGCGCCCGCGCACGCCGCGCCCCCGCUGGCACGCAACUUCCGACUUUCAGACAUGUACGGUUUGUUUACAAGACGCAGAUGGACCAUAUUGCCAUAUUGAGUCAUGGCGGCAACAACUCCCGGGAAGCACCUGUGACUUAGCUCAUCACAUUGCUCUGGGCCAGUGGGCAACUAAAUUUGGCAAAGACAUUGAGGUGCAUCUCUCCAACCACGGUUUCCCUCAUCAAACUACUGUACAUUCUUGUGGCAUCUUAAUGUUGAUGUAUGCACUCAGCCUGAGCACAGAGGCUCCAUUUUGGUUCAUGGAGAGGGACAUGGCACGCAUCUGAAAAUGGUGGUGCAUUAGUCUAAUGGAACGGUUCCAGAUUGACGGGUAAGACAACUCUAAAUGUUACUUCCUACAAUACAUUGCUUCUACAUUAGUUUACUUUUUUUAUUAUUUUACUAAUAUCUUACUCAAAAGCCAUGGACAGAGGUUUGCAUACUGGACUAAUGAGGCCAGAGCAUUGCUCCAAGGUUCACUGCAGCCGAUAUACAGGGUCCCAAGGUCAGCAAGAGGGAACAUGAGGUUUCGAUUAGAAAAGGAUGACAGGUGCGUCAUAUUGGAGGUAAUGUUUAUUUACUGCUUACACUGUUUACUGGCUAUAUUAGCCAAUAAACAUGGCACAACACCUCCCUUUAUCCUUGCACUAUUGGACUUAUUUGCACUACCACCAUGACACACACUAUAGAGCACCUUAUGCACAAUAAUUGCCCUGUCACUGCAAGAGUCACAUGCUUAUACAUCCCUUAGUACAGUCAUAUCAAUAUCAGGGCAAUGCGUUAUGAUAGAUGUUCUCACCAAUAAUUGUUAGUUUUCAUAUUUCUGCUAUGCUAUGAUUGUUGCCAUUUGUACAGGCAAUAGUGUAGUCAGUGUGUUGUCUUUACUAUGCUUGAUUUUUCCUGACCUGUAUUUUACAGUUACCAACGUGUGUGCUUUCUGAAAUCCUAAAUGAAAUGGUACUACAGGAAGGAGAUAAGGCAUACUUAAGAUUGGCUCUUGUGUGUACCACCUUCAGGGACACUGGCCCUCAUUUAUCAAAAGUGCAUACACCAAAUUUCCAGCGUACACCCAAAACCACGGUGACUUUGAGAUUUAUCAAUAUGGACGUUGGCACUCUCAAAUCCUACGCCAGCUCAGGAGGUGGUGUACGCACGUUCUGAGUUAAUGCGGAAAUGCGCAGGAAAAAAAUCCUAACGCACUGACAAACUAAAAGAUAUGAUAUAUUAUGACCCACUGUAAAAAAAAAACUUCAGUGUUUAGUUUUGUGCAACAUGGACUUCAAUGUUUAAUUUGUGUGACUUUACCAAAGCAUUUGAUUUAUAUGUAUUCCUUCAGAUGCGAGCCUGUGCGCUUUACAUGACGUUUCAGGGUUAGGCCAGGCAGUUGCGCACGGACUGGGUUCAGUAAUAAAAGGCUUUUAAUGACCAAAAUAUAAUUCAGACUGUCAUUUUUAUUAUUUUGUCAUUCUUCUUCUUUUAAAUAAUAAUAAUAAUAAUAAUAAUAAUAAUAAUAAUAAUAAUAGAAAUAGAAAUAAUAAUAAUAACGACAUUCUUCUUCUAAAUAACAAUAAACGUCGUUAAUAAUAAAUAUCAUAAAAUAAUAAGACGACUAUUACAAAUUGUCAUGCAAUUAUUAAUGUGAAUAAAUUGUAUUCCACAUCACAUAAUAAUUUUUUAUUCCGCUUUUUAAACUGCCAAAUGAAACAAUUUUAUUUCUUUCUACCUCCCUGGUGAUCGUCUCAAUCUCCACGUCAGAGAAGUUUCUCUUUUUUGCCGUCUUCCGUGUGUCCAUGGCGUAAAAUGAGGGCGUGGGGGAAGUGGAGACUUGAAUAUAUAGGGGCGUGUUAUUCUAAUGACGGUCGUCUUCAGCUGCGGCAUUUAUCAAGGGCAGGUAUUGCGUACACCUGGAUUUUAAAGGUACGCACAGCUUCAUAAAUCAGGCGGUGAGAGGAGUGUAAGCAAAAUCUUACGCCAACAUAUACACCCGUUUCUACGCAAGAAUGAUAAAUGAGGGCCACUGUGUCCACUCACUCCUUCAGGAGACGGGCACAUUUUCAGUGGCUUGACAGUGUCGCUACAUGGAGCAGGUUUUCUGAGUCCUACAGAAAAGAAUUCUACACCAUGUACACCGUGGACACCUGUCGUGAAUGUGGAAUGCUUUUCAAAAACUGCACACCUGUCUAGCCUGAAGGUUGUUGCCAGACAUCUGCUCAUCUGCACAAUCCUCUGGAUUGUCACCCUCUUCCUCAUGCUGAGGAUGGUCCUCCACAUCCAAGAUGUCGUCCAUAGAGAGACAAAGGUUGUGGAGAAUGCAGCAGGCAGCAACCACCUUGGGGCACAAACAGAGGACGCAUUACCAGAGCCCUCAGAAAGAUGGAUCUCCAACGGGUUUUCAGCAUGCCAAAUGUGCGCUCGAUUACUCACCUUGGUGUGGUGUACGUAGAACCGGGCCUCAUGGUGUAGAAACGUUAUACAGUUGCAUUAUUUGGUAGUGUUGUUAUUUACUGUGUUAUUUAAGUCCACUACCAAGAUCAUCAUGUAUAAGUCUAAGUCUUUGAUCAGUGUUGAAAACAAAGGGUACUUGGUAGUGAUCUCAGACAUUUGGAGCCCACUGUGUGUUUGUGUGUUUUGGCAACCUUGGAUUUAGGUCCAGUAAAUAUCCCAAGCAGCUACAGGCUGUUGAAACGUGGUGAUAACAGCCACGGGAUGCUGCAGGCAUGGAUAUUCACCAUCUUCUGAAAAUAAUUCUGUUUGAUUUUGUUCAAUAAAGUGUUUUAGACCAUUAUUCCACAUUGUGUUGUUUAUAAAUGUUCAUAACUGAAUUCUAAACAUCUUAACUCAUUGUGAAGUGGUUGAUUGUCAUUGCUAUACUGUGUAAUUUGUGCUCUAAGAUGAUUUGGACCUUCUAAAACUGUUCUGAUUCAGACUGUGGAAUUGGAAACAAGCAGUUGCCAGUAGGUAACUCCAGUAAGGCAUUUACUUAAUGAGAUGGUUGGGGUUUCCAUUAAGGUUUUCAACUGAAGUAAAAUGGUUUGGUUACUAUUCCAUCACCUACACUGAGAAAGACCAGUGCCAACAUGAUGUAGCCUUGCCAUCCUCUGUCUCAUUCUGGCCCUCAGGAUUAGGUGCCUUUGCUCAGGGUCCUCCUAUAUAUACAUCUAUCUCUAAUAGGUUGUUUUGACUAUCUUCUACCUCUGCUUUUAAACGCUGGUAGCUCGUUAAUGUGCUUGUGAAAUUCACGAGGUACCAGCGGGAAAAAGCGGAGGAAAAAGAUACGCAACCGAUUGGAUAGAUAGGUUAUAUAGGUAUUAGUUAGACAAAUAUAUCUGUAUAUUGUGGUACAGACAUGCCAAUUCACACGGG
ensembl:lncRNA